rnacentral:rRNA from 1 species
UUGACCUCAAAUCAGGUAGGACUACCCGCUGAACUUAAGCAUAUCAAUAAGCGGAGGAAAAGAAACUAACAAGGAUUCCCCUAGUAACUGCGAGUGAAGCGGGAAGAGCUCAAAUUUUG